rnacentral:rRNA from 1 species
CAGCCGCCACGGUAAUACGUAUGUCACAAGCGUUAUCCGGAUUUAUUGGGCGUAAAGCGCGUCUAGGUGGUUAUGUAAGUCUGAUGUGAAAAUGCAGGGCUCAACUCUGUAUUGCGUUGGAAACUGUGUAACUAGAGUACUGGAGAGGCAAGCGGAACUACAAGUGUAGAGGUGAAAUUCGUAGAUAUUUGUAGGAAUGCCGAUGGGGAAGCCAGCUUACUGGACAGAUACUGACGCUAAAGCGCGAAAGCGAGGGUAGCAAACAGGAUUAGAUACCCCGGUAGUCCCUGUCUCUUAUACA